rnacentral:rRNA from 1 species
UGGGGAAUUUUGGACAAUGGGCGAAAGCCUGAUCUAGCAAUGCCGCGUGUGUGAAGAAGGCCUUCGGGUUGUAAAGCACUUUUGUCCGGAAAGAAAUCCUUGGCUCUAAUACAGUCGGGGGAUGACGGUACCGGAAGAAUAAGCACCGGCUAACUACGUGCCAGCAGCCGCGGUAAUACGUAGGGUGCAAGCGUUAAUCGGAAUUACUGGGCGUAAAGCGUGCGCAGGCGGUUUGCUAAGACCGAUGUGAAAUCCCCGGGCUCAACCUGGGAACUGCAUUGGUGACUGGCAGGCUAGAGUAUGGCAGAGGGGGGUAGAAUUCCACGUGUAGCAGUGAAAUGCGUAGAGAUGUGGAGGAAUACCGAUGGCGAAGGCAGCCCCCUGGGCCAAUACUGACGCUCAUGCACGAAAGCGUGGGGAGCAAACAGGAUUAGAUACCCUGGUAGUCCACGCCCUAAACGAUGUCAACUAGUUGUUGGGGAUUCAUUUCCUUAGUAACGUAGCUAACGCGUGAAGUUGACCGCCUGGGGAGUACGGUCGCAAGAUUAAAACUCAAAGGAAUUGACGGGGUCAUAGCUGUUUCCU